CCCUCAAUUCCUCAGGAUGUGAGGAAAUGAAGCAAAGGAAAAAUACCUCUCCCCUCCCACCUUGAGCAUAGCUCCCUGUCAGCACCGCAGCCUGGGAACCAAGGUGGAGAGAAGAUGUGAUCACACUGCUCUUGGCUAUUGGGACUGUCACCAGACAGGGUCUGAAGGGGUCUCUGAAGUGGAGCUGGGGAACCUCAUCUUACUCCACCCACAGGACUCUCAUUAAGGAGGUAAAGUGAUGAAAGUUUCUUGGAAAGAAAGAACUGCAGAGGUUCGCAGCCAAAUCAUAAGACAAUGAGUUGCCCACUGAAUCAAAGAGGGAAGGACAUAACAAACAGGUGAAAAAAGCCAGCCCCCACGGACCAGCCUCCUAUAGCAGAAGCUAUGAGGAAAACCACACAGCAGAGAAAAAUACUCAUGUAAAGAUCUGUGCACCAUGCUUAAGCUAUAUGAAGAAAAGGUCCAAAUAAAUCUAAUACCUAAACAACACACUGGAGCAGAGGGCUGCAGAUGAACUUGGACAGAUACUUUCUCAGCAGAUAUACACCAUCACAGGAACAGAGUACCUCUGAGCAUGACUCCCUUCAGUCAGCAUGGAAGAUUAAUGAAACCAGCUUUUAACUCUAAAAUUAUAAAAUGAUAUAAUGCAGAAUAAACAUAAUUAUUUGUUUGUUUGUUUUGUUUUGGUACCGGGGAUUGAACUCGGGACUUUGCAUUUGUGAGGCAGGCAGUAGAACCACUGAGCUAAAUCCCCGGCCCUAAGCAUAAUUGUUGUCAGAGCAGACACAGACCUUCUGGCAUUAUAUGGAAAGAUAUCUGAUGUAUUGCAUAAACCCGGAUCCCUCUAGCAUUUCCUCAGACUUCCCUUCUUCAUCCAGCUGCACUUGUGCUUUUCGUCCUUAAACAUGUAUCUGCUUUGAACCUGAUGGAUCAGGUGAUUCCAAACUACACUUUCCCCUGGGCUACUCACCAUUUCUAGUUCAUCUCCUGGGCAAAUAUCCCAACCCUUGGAAGUUAGGCACACAGUCUGUGCAUGUACUAAGCAUGUGGCUUUCUGCAUAUGUCUGCACAUCAUUUUUCAGGAAACUCUAUUUCACACUGCACCAGCUUGCUGAGUAGCUGUUGUUCACACCCACUGAGAAAUAACUCCAUGUGAGAAUAAUACCUUUACAACUUUGAAAUGUCCUCAGACAGACUUCUCAUCUCCAGGCCAUCAACCUGCUGUGAACUCUCAUCCUGACUUUUCACACUUACAGGCAACAGUCAUGCAACAUACUGUCAAACAAUAUGAAGGUUUGGGGAGAUGUGGAGGAGUGAAAAAUUUUAAAUUGGAGCCUGAACAUCUUUUGAGAUGGGUGUAAUUUUUAAUAAUUAAAAAAUCUAUCACACAUACAA
rnacentral:lncRNA from 1 species